rnacentral:rRNA from 1 species
UGUGGUUUAAUUUGAAGAUACGCGUAGAACCUUACCCACUCUUGACAUCUUCUGCAAUGCUAUGGAGACAUAGCG